UACGUAGGGGGCAAGCGUUAUCCGGAUUUACUGGGUGUAAAGGGAGCGUAGACGGUGAAGCAAGUCUGAAGUGAAAGGCGGGGGCUCAACCCCCGGACUGCUUUGGAAACUGUUUGACUGGAGUGCAGGAGAGGUAAGUGGAAUUCCUAGUGUAGCGGUGAAAUGCUUAGAUAUUACUCAGAACACCGAUUGCGCAGGCAGCUUGCUAAUCCGCAUCUGACGCUGAUGCACGAAAGCGUGGGUAGCGAACAGG
rnacentral:rRNA from 1 species